CAGGAGCUAGGUUUUCUAGUUAGUGUGGUUUGUGAGAGUGAUUGAGAACUUAGAGGGACACAGAGAAAUUCACCUGGGUCGUAACCAGCUAGUUUGUUGUAUCAAUUGAGAUGGAGCAGCAUAGCGAAACGUGCGAUAGAGAAGAAGUACGCGAGGGUGGUGGUGGUUCCUCCUUGGAUCCUCCCAAUCCAGAAGGAGAAACCCCAAUCUCCGACGGCGUCGCAUUCAACAAUCAAAGCGAAAUUUUCAGAGCGAUCGAAGUUGUGGAGCGCGACUCACUGGCCAUCGCUCAGAGUUUCACUUCUCUCUUCGCCUCUCUCCGUUUGGCGCUCUCCGAAUCCACCGCCACCUCGCUCCACCACAUGCAGUGCUUCACCGAUGCCACCGGUCGCCUUCAGGAAUCCGUGCUUGAUGCAGCAAACAAGGGGAAUCGCUAUAUAAAUUCCUGUCUCAGAUUGAAUGAAGAGAUGAAGACUGUUGAUGGACUCGCUGCUCAUCUGUAUCCUAUUGCUUUGCUAUUUGCUGCUAAUUUGUUUUACGCUCUCCUUCGUAUUUUUGAUAUAAAGAAUAUACACUGUCACCCAAUAAAUGUUUCCGAACAUGCCGAAAGAAUCUAUUGUGUAAGCCAUGGUGUGCUUAGUACCAUGUUAACAUACUCCACUUUGAUUCAAUGGUGAACCUUUGUGCAUUUUAGAGGCGUUCUCUCUGGAGGAGCUUUAUUUGCUGCUUGAGACAAAGACUUGUGUGAUUAAAAAACCCUAAGAAGGCACGUAGAUUCUCUGGACUCAGCUGUUAACAAGCUUCUUCAAUUCCCCUGAUACAUUGGGAUUCAGUCCUGUACAAGUUGUUAAGAUAGAGGGUUGAGAAGCGGUGAAGUUUCCUCCUUUUUCCCCAGUAAACAAGAGAUAGAGUCUACAAUAUUGUUCCUCGUGUCACAAAAUUUUCCUCUAGUGCUGACAAAAAAAAAACACGAGACUUUCCUCUAGUGUGUCACAAGAUUUUUCCAGUGCACAGUAUGUUUGAAGUUUUAGACGUGAUGAUUUUAUGUAUGUGCCUUUGUCAUUAUCACUGGUGCUGUUAAUAGUUUGUAUUCAGGACAGAAAUGAAAGUAAGUACAUUCUAGAGUAGCAUAUUUUGGUUCUUCAUCUUGUUCUGAAAUGGUAUAAAAACAUUCUAUGCCUCUUUGGGAGA